rnacentral:rRNA from 1 species
AAUGAACGUUGGCGGCGUGGAUUAGGCAUGCAAGUCGUACGGGUCGGUGUAGCAAUACAACGGCAAGUGGCGAAAGGGAGAGUAACACGUAGAUACCUACCCUCUGGUCGGGGAUACCGCGGCAUAACCGCAAGUAAUACCCGAUAAAAUCUCCGGAUCAAAGGUGUGAUUCCGCCGGAGGAGGGGUCUGCGUUCUAUCAGCUUGUUGGUGAGGUAAUGGCUCACCAAGGCUAAGACGGAUACGGGGUGUGAGAGCAUGCCCCCGCUCACUGGGACUGAGACACUGCCCAGACACAUACGGGUGGCUGCAGUCGAGAAUCUUCGGCAAUGGCGCAAGCCUGACCGAGCGCCGCCGCGUGCGGGAUGAAGGCCUUCGGGUUGUAAACCGCUGUCGAGGGGAAUGAAGUGUAGGUGGGUACUCCCAUCUAUUUGACAGAUCCCUGGAGGAAGCAUGGGCUAAGUUCGUGCCAGCCGCCGCCGUAAAAC